rnacentral:rRNA from 1 species
UACGUAGGUGGCAAGCGUUGUCCGGAUUUACUGGGCGUAAAGAGCGCGCAGGCGGUCGUCCAAGUCGCGUGUGAAAGCCCCCGGCUCAACUGGGGAGGGUCACGCGAUACUGGUCGACUCGAAGGCAGGAGAGGGUAGUGGAAUUCCCGGUGUAGUGGUGAAAUGCGUAGAUAUCGGGAGGAACACCAGUGGCGAAGGCGGCUUCCUGGCCUGUUCUUGACGCUGAGGCGCGAAAGCUAGGGGAGCAAACGGG